AAAAGGUGCACUAUACCACCUACGAGGAGCAGCUUCUGCCAUUCAUCCACGGAGACAGCGUCACUGUUGUCGCCGGGAUAUGUGAUUCGGACAGGAAUGUCGGCAAAGAUUCAUCCUUACCAACACCUGGCAGAAGCAAAGGCACACAAUCCUCAGUUGCUCCCAUUCCAGGUGGCCAAAGACACUCGGCUGGACACUCCUAAAGUCAACUCCACUCGCCGCAACACCAACAGUAUCCUGAAAUGGAACAAGCAAUAUUUAGUGGGGAUGAUUGUGCAAGACAGUCUGGGGAAUGUUUUAGUGAUGUAGCACUUUUUUCAGAGGAUGAGUCCUCAGAAACUCCCCAACAACCACAAGUGACACAUAAGUCCAAACCCACAAGAUCUCAGGUUCCCCCCCAAAUAGUGGAAAUUGAAAAAGAUUGUUUCCACAAGUCACUGCAUAACAAGUCGCUAAUGAAAAAAAUGCACACAGUACAUCUAGACUUCUGCAGCUCCAACUAGACUUACAAUUUGUAAGUAAUCUUUGAGUUUUUUUAUUUUUUGCAGCAAAUUAUGUAUUAAGCAAGAAUAUUAAUACACAUUAGUCCUAUGUGCUUAUAGUGCUUUGUAAAUAAACAUUUCUCUUUUUGCUAUUUGUGUUGGGGGGGGUAGAUCACCUGCUCAAAGCGACAUGAGCCUUAGUUGCCACUCACUAAAGCUGUGAGAAAUAAAAGAAAG